CUGCAGAACGUGGCCAGAAGAGGAGGGAAACCAGAAAAACAAAACAGAAUCCGAGCCUGAACCAUUCCAGCGAAACUGCAGCCACCCAAAAAUGCAGGAGCAGCACAAAAAGGAGCCACGCUGUGCCCUCACCAACUCCCACUCCGUAAUUUGAGGAAAAUGCUGAAGGGAGACGAUGCCUCUGCUGAGGAAUUUUCCUAUUCCCUGGGAGAGGAGUGAGGGAAAAGCAAAAGGAAAUCUCUGUGCUGAGUUAUUAAGGAUGAACAACAAUCGGUGAAGCUCCCAAGUGCAGCUGGAUGAAACUCCGGGCUGGGACAGUGAGCCUGGAAUUAAAGCUGGAUAAGGAGACCCAAACACGGCGUUGGAGAGGGUGGAAGGAGCAUCCCAGGGAAAGUG
rnacentral:lncRNA from 1 species